UUAUUGUUCAAUAGUACAAUGUAGGUUAGUAUUGCCAUCUGCCAUAGAGAGGGAAAGGAGGAAGAGUAAUUUUAAACAUUAUAAGGACACCACACUCUCAGCCUUGUUUCUGGAGCUAAUGGUCAGAGUUUUUGAGUAAGUUAUGUAGGAUGAUAAAGAUAAUCGAAGAACCACUCCAGUAAAAAGAAUAAGAAUAAGACCCUCUCUUGUUUUGAGACAUUAUUCAUUUAAACAACUGGAAAAGAUCAGCUCCUCCAACCUGAUGAAUUCAAAAGGCACUGAAAACAGACGGAAUACUAUACUGUGUUCAAUCAUUAUCAUGUAGUUGAUAAGUUGUUCUUAUUAAUGAAUGUCAGUGGCUCUGCAUGGGAAGAUGACAGUACCUCAAAUGCUGGACUCAUUAAGUAAACUCUCCUGGUUAUACAAGAAGGGAAGACAGAAAAAGUCACAA